UGGUUAAUGGUUAAGCACUUGGCUGCUAACCAAAAGGUCGGUGGUUCGAACCCACU
rnacentral:tRNA from 1 species